UUCACCCUGUCCGUCUCUGACCACUAGGCCUAUCAGAUGGACCAAUAGAGGCCCUCUCCUUCACCCUGUCUGUCUCUGACCACUAGGCCUAUCAGAUGGACCAAUAGAGGCCCUCUCCUUCACCCUGUCUGUCUCUGACCACUAGGCCUAUCAGAUGGACCAAGAGAGGCCCUCUCCUUCACCCUGUCCGUCUCUGACCACUAGGCCAAGAGAGGCCCUCUCCUUCACCCUGUCCGUCUCUGACCACUAGGCCUAUCAGAUGGACCAAGAGAGG
rnacentral:lncRNA from 1 species